UACGUAGGGUGCAAGCGUUGUCCGGAAUUAUUGGGCGUAAAGAGCUUGUAGGCGGUUUGUCGCGUCUGCUGUGAAAUUUCGGGGCUCAACCCCGAACUUGCAGUGGGUACGGGCAGACUAGAGUGUGGUAGGGGAGACUGGAAUUCCUGGUGUAGCGGUGAAAUGCGCGAUAUCAGGAGGAAUACCAGUGGCGAAAGGCGAC
rnacentral:rRNA from 1 species